rnacentral:tRNA from 1 species
GGCGCGAUGGCCGAGAGGUUAGGCACGGGUCUGCAAAACCUGCUAGAGCGGUUCAAUUCCGCUUCGCGCCUCCA